UCAACAAAUAAGACACUUUUUCCAACACGAACGCGUAAAAACCGGUUCAUUUAAAACUUCAAUUGCAAUAAAUCCUGCUUUACUGACAGCUGAUUUCAAAGUUGAUGUGUUUGUAUUCACUCGUUGCUAUGAUACGCGUCUUGUUUUCAAAGAGUCGACAAGCGAUUGGUCGGUCAAGUUUACGUGUAUCCGGAAAAACACGUCACCAGGGCCGGUUGCUAGACAACGAAGGUUGUUGGUUUCUUCGAAAGUGGAAAAGUCCUGAUUUUAUGCCGAAAAUUUUCCUGGUAGAAGAAAUGAAUUAUUGACGAAUGGCUCACCGGCGCGAGCAAUGCAUCGAACUCAUUAAAAAACAUGCUAGAAGUUUCAGAUGGAAUGCACUCUUACCUUGUCACCCUGUAGAAUGCUCUUGUUUUCCAAUAUACCGGGUCUCAAUUUAAAAACUUCCCACCCUUAAUAUCCCGCGAACGAUUUAAGUCGCAAACAUCGUCAAAAUUUCCUUGGCAAUCGCGAAUUUUCUAGUUUAAAGUCACAUUUUCGGGUCCUUCGAGAAACAAUUUCAAAAAAUAAGACACUUUUUCCAACACGAACGCGUAAAAACCGGUUCAUUUAAAACUUCAAUUGCAAUAAACACUGCUUUACCGACA